CUUGAGAACACACCAAUCCAACAACCAGAUUUACACACAUUUUUACAAUGACUUUAUCCGGGUGUUUAACGUUUCUCAUGCUAUCAGUUUCUGUGGUGCGCAGUCAGACUCUGACUGAGUCUGAA